rnacentral:rRNA from 1 species
UGGGGAAUAUUGGACAAUGGGCGCAAGCCUGAUCCAGCAACGCCGCGUGGAGGACGAAGGUCUUCGGAUCGUAAACUCCUGUCAGGUGGGACGAAGGUUCGGGGGCAAAUAGUUCUCGAGCUUGACGGUACCACCAGAGGAAGCCCCGGCUAACUCCGUGCCAGCAGCCGCGGUAAUACGGAGGGGGCGAGCGUUAUUCGGAAUUAUUGGGCGUAAAGGGCGCGUAGGCGGCCUUGUAAGUCAAAGGUGAAAUCCCUCGGCUCAACUGAGGAACUGCCUUUGAAACUGCAAGGCUUGAGGCCGGGAGGGGGUAGCGGAAUUCCCAAUGUAGCGGUGAAAUGCGUAGAUAUUGGGAGGAACACCAGUGGCGAAGGGGCUACCUGGACCGGUUCUGACGCUGAGGCGCGAAAGCGUGGGUAGCAAACAGGAUUAGAUACCCUGGUAGUCCACGCUGUAAACGAUGGGUGCUCGGUGUCGCGGGUAUCGACCCCUGCGGUGCCUUAGCUAACGCGUUAAGCACCCCGCCUGGGGAGUACGGUCGCAA